rnacentral:rRNA from 1 species
UGAGUAACACGUAUCCAACCUGCCGUCUACUCUUGGCCAGCCUUCUGAAAGGAAGAUUAAUCCAGGAUGGCAUCAUGAGUUCACAUGUCCGCAUGAUUAAAGGUAUUUUCCGGUAGACGAUGGGGAUGCGUUCCAUUAGAUAGUAGGCGGGGUAACGGCCCACCUAGUCAGCGAUGGAUAGGGGUUCUGAGAGGAAGGUCCCCCACAUUGGAACUGAGACACGGUCCAA